rnacentral:rRNA from 2 species
UACGGGGGGGGCAAGCGUUGUUCGGAAUUACUGGGCGUAAAGGGCUCGUAGGCGGCCAACUAAGUCGGACGUGAAAUCCCCAGGCUCAACCUGGGAACUGCGUCCGAUACUGGAUGGCUUGAAUUCGGGAGAGGGAUGCAGAAUUCCAGGUGUAGCGGUGAAAUGCGUAGAUAUCUGGAGGAAUACCGGUGGCGAAGGCGGCAUCCUGGACCGACAUUGACGCUGAGGAGCGAAAGCUAGGGGAGCAAACGGG